rnacentral:rRNA from 1 species
UACGGGAGGCAGCAGUAAGGAAUAUUGGUCAAUGGGCGCAAGCCUGAACCAGCCAUGCCGCGUGCAGGAAGACGGCCCUAUGGGUUGUAAACUGCUUUUGUCAGGGAAUAAACCUUUGUACGUGAUACAGAGCUGAAGGUACCUGAAGAAUAAGCAUCGGCUAACUCC